rnacentral:sRNA from 1 species
CCCUAGCCCAGAUAGCAAUGGAAAUCCUUGUGAAAAGAAGCGCCAAUUUUUCUUGACAAAAAAGAGCGACCAAAGAAGCUCCUUUUUUGUCAUAGAAAAAUGGUGGUUGUUGAGCAAGAUUGCAAUGGAUAGCUGGAAAUAGC